UCUAAUAUGACAGAAUUAAUGUAAUGAAUUUAAGCUUCAUCUAUAAAGAAAAAUCUUUUUUUAGAA
rnacentral:tRNA from 1 species